rnacentral:rRNA from 1 species
ACGCUGGCGGCGUGCCUAACACAUGCAAGUCGAACGAAGCACUGUGGAUAGAGACUUCGGUCAAUUGAAGCUUUGACUUAGUGGCGGACGGGUGAGUAAUGCAUGAGCAACCUGCCCUGGAGAGGGGGACAACAGCUGGAAACGGCUGCUAAUACCGCAUGAUGUAUUCGGAGGGCAUCCUCUGAAUACCAAAGAUUUAUCGCUCUGGGAUGGGCUCAUGUCUGAUUAGAUAGUUGGCGGGGUAACGGCCCACCAAGUCUGCGAUCAGUAGCCGGACUGAGAGGUUGAACGGCCACAUUGGGACUGAGACACGGCCCAGACUCCUACGGGAGGCAGCAGUGGGGAAUAUUGCACAAUGGGGGAAACCCUGAUGCAGCGACGCCGCGUGGAGGAAGAAGGUCUUCGGAUUGUAAACCGCUUUUAUUAGGGACGAUAAUGACGGUACCUAAUGAAUAAGCCACGGCUAACUACGUG